GUUCUUCAUGUGCAAGUUGGUGGAGCAAAAUCCAUUAUGGAAGGAAUGGAAGCAAAGUCUUUGUAAAUAGCAAGUGGAGGAGAGGUAGAUGGAGGGCAGAAGAACGUGGAAAAAAAAUAAGAACCAAGAUACAUCAGGUAAAGGUACAAAUUCCCAAUGAUGAAUGUCAUCAUAUUGUAUACUUAAAAUGUACCAAUAAAUUUAACG
rnacentral:lncRNA from 1 species